ACAGGGAUUGCCCUAGUAACGGCGAGUGAAGCGGCAACAGCUCAAAUUUGAAAUCUGGCCCUCGUGGUCCGAGUUGUAAUUUGUAGAGGAUGCUUUUGGUGAGGUGCCUUCCGAGUUCCCUGGAACGGGACGCCAUAGAGGGUGAGAGCCCCGUCUGGUUGGACACCGAGCCUCUGUAAAGCUCCUUCGACGAGUCGAGUAGUUUGGGAAUGCUGCUCAAAAUGGGAGGUAUAUGUCUUCUAAAGCUAAAUAUUGGCCAGAGACCGAUAGCGCACAAGUAGAGUGAUCGAAAGAUGAAAAGCACUUUGAAAAGAGGGUUAAAUAGUACGUGAAAUUGUUGAAAGGGAAGCGUUUGUGACCAGACUUGGGCUCGGUUAAUCAUCCAGCGUUCUCGCUGGUGCACUUUGCCAGCCCAGGCCAGCAUCAGUUUGCUGCGGGGGAUAAAAGUUUCGGGAAUGUGGCUCCUCGGAGUGUUAUAGCCCGUUGCACAAUACCCUGUGGUGGACUGAGGUUCGCGCAUCUGCAAGGAUGCUGGCGUAAUGGUCAUCAACGACCCGUCUUGAAACACGGACCAAGGAGUCGUCUUCGUAUGCGAGUGUUCGGGUGUCAAACCCCUACGCGUAAUGAAAGUGAACGGAGGUGAGAGCUACGGCGCAUCAUCGACCGAUCCUGAAGUUUUCGGAUGGAUUUGAGUAAGAGCAUACGGGGCCGGACCCGAAAGAAGGUGAACUAUGCCUGUAUAGGGUGAAGCCAGAGGAAACUCUGGUGGAGGCUCGCAGCGGUUCUGACGUGCAAAUCGAUCGUCAAAUAUGGGCAUGGGGGCGAAAGACUAAUCGAACCUUCUAGUAGCUGGUUUCCGC
rnacentral:rRNA from 1 species